UUAUAUGGCAUAGUUAUAGCACCCACUCAUCUAGCCCAAUACCAUCUACUCUGACCGGCAGUGGCUCUCCAAGGCUUCAGGCAGAGCUCUAUGUCCUUCAACGGGAAGUCUCAGGGGACUGAACCUGGGACCUUCUUCAUGUAAGCCCCUUUCACAAGUUUGAUGCAUGAUCAGCAUGCACAAUCAGGAUAAAUAAGGCGGAGAGAUGAGGACUGGCCCCAGAGAGCUCUCGAGGAGUCUGCGGUUGGAGCGCAGGUACUCCUGGAAGUGCCGCCGGUGAGAGGCAGAAGAGGCAUUCCUCGGGACUCACCUUCCAGUUCGGGGCUCCUGGGAGCGGAGAGCUCCCUGAUCUUCGUGGCCCAGGUCUCGGCGAUGGCUCGGUUCUCCUGGGCUUCCUGCGACACCAGCACGCAGAAAGUCUUGGCCACUCGCUGCCUGGAUUCGCCCGAGUCCCACCAGCUCUUCCUGGAGGAGGGGUAGCAGAAGACGGUGAAGUAGGCGGCCGCCGGCUGCGGAGCGCCCUUGCCCUGGCAGACGUAGCAGCCGAUGCAGUCGGAGAGGCUCAGCGCCGUCGAGAGCGGGCUGCCGGCUGGCGCAGAGUCCUGCCGGCGCAUCAGCAGCUCCGCGCCGCGCGUGAGGCUCAGCGCAUAGUGGCUCUUCAGCGCCGGGGCGAGGCAGAAGACCCCGGAGAGCAAAACUUCGCCGGCAGAAG